rnacentral:lncRNA from 1 species
GUAACACACACACACACCAUCACACAACACACUGCUACUUCCCCACAGUCAGCAAGGUAAACAACAAGGUAACACACACACACACCAUCACACAACACACUGCUACUUCCCCACAGUCAUCAAGGUAAACAACAAGGUAACACACACAUUUAUACACACACACACACCAUCACACAACACACUGCUACUUCCCCACAGUCAUCAAGGUAAACAACAAGGUAACACACACAUUUAUACACACACACACACCAUCACACAACACACUGCUACUUCCCCACAGUCAUCAAGGUAAACAACAAGGUAACACACACACACACCAUCACACAACACAGGUAUACACAAGGUAUCACAUACACAUGGUUAGCAGAUGUUAUUGCGAGUGUAGUGAAAUGCUUAUGCUUCUAGAUCUGGCAGUGCAGCAGUAUCUAACAGGUAAUAUCUAACAAGUCCACAACUAAACAUAAUACACACAGUCUAGUAAAGGAAUAAGAAUAUAUAAGUAUAAAAUAUAUGGAUGAGCAGUGACAGAGCGGCUAAGAUGCAAU